AUACGUAGGGUGCAAGCGUUAAUCGGAAUUACUGGGCGUAAAGCGUGCGCAGGCGGUUUUGUAAGACAGUGGUGAAAUCCCCGGGCUCAACCUGGGAACUGCCAUUGUGAAUGCAAGGCUGGAGUGUGGCAGAGGGGGAUGGAAUUCCGCGUGUAGCAGUGAAAUGCGUAGGUAUGCGGAGGAACACCGAUGGCGAAGGCAAUCCCCUGGGCCUGUACUGACGCUCAGGCACGAAAGCGUGAGGAGCAAACAGGAUUAGAUACCCUGGUAGUCCACGCCCUAAACGAUGUCAACUGUGUGUUGGGUCUUCAUUGACUCAGUAACGAAGCUAACGCGUGAAGUGGACCGCCUGGGGAGUACGGCCGCAAGGUUGAAACUCAAAUGAAUUGACGGGG
rnacentral:rRNA from 1 species